rnacentral:rRNA from 1 species
GAUGAACGCUGGCGGCGUGCCUAAUACAUGCAAGUCGAGCGAACGGACGAGAAGCUUGCUUCUCUGAUGUUAGCGGCGGACGGGUGAGUAACACGUGGAUAACCUACCUAUAAGACUGGGAUAACUUCGGGAAACCGGAGCUAAUACCGGAUGAUAUUUUGAACCGCAUGGUUCAAAAGUGAAAGACGGUCUUGCUGUCACUUAUAGAUGGAUCCGCGCUGCAUUAGCUAGUUGGUAAGGUAACGGCUUACCAAGGCAACGAUGCAUAGCCGACCUGGGAGGGUGAUCGGCCACACUGGAACUGAGACACGGUCCAGACUCCUACGGGAGGCAGCAGUAGGGAAUCUUCCGCAAUGGGCGAAAGCCUGACGGAGCAACGCCGCGUAAGUGAUGAAGGUCUUCGGAUCGUAAAACUCUGUUAUUAGGGAAGAACAUAUGUGUAAGUAACUGUGCACAUCUUGACGGUACCUAAUCAGAAAGCCACGGCUAACUACGUG